rnacentral:piRNA from 1 species
UAUGUCGCAACAAUGCUAUCC